ACGGGCACCCACCACCACCAACCCAGUGGGCCGGCCACACCUCCAGCCCUGUGACGGGCACCCACCACCACCAACCCAGUGGGCCGGCCACACCUCCAGCCCUGUGACGGGCACCCACCACCACCAACCCAGUGGGCCGGCCACACCUCCAGCCCUGUGAUGGGCACCCACCACCACCACCAUCCCAGUGGGCCGGCCACACCUCCAGCCCUGUGACGGGCACUCAGGACCACCAAGGGCACUCAGGUGCAGAUGCCCCUGGGAGAACACCACCUUCAUUCAGCCCGGGCGGCCAGAUUAGGGGAAGGUUGCUUCUAGGAGAGAAAGUCUUGAGUCAGGCUUUGUGGAGAAAGGAGGUUUCUACACCCCAAGCGUUCCUGACACAACCCAACCAGCCUGGUGUUGCACCACAGGGCUCACACCUCAGAUCAAGACAACGGGGGCCCAGCCACAGCCCACUGACGAGGGCAUGCAGGGCGUCCAGGAUGCAGGGCAGAGAGAGAAGCGAGGGAUGAGUCACGGAUGCGCCCCCCGCUCUGAGCCCGACGGGGCCCUGAAUGGCUUUUCCUGCCCUGGCUCCUCCCAUCAUAUUUUAAAUGCCGUCUUCCUCCCGCUCCAAGGAAACCUUCUCUUGACGUCAGAGUCUGAAACUUUACAUCAUAGUGAACAAAGAAAACCUAAUAUGAUGCCAGGGAAAAGAUUUCAGGAUGUUCAAAAUCUGUUCCUGAUAAAAAUAAUCUGAAUUCAAAAAUCUUUCAUGACUGAUUUUUAAUCACACUGAGGCAAAUAUCCCCCUCAGACAGAGGCUGCACCGGUACAGCUGCCAUCUCCUCUUGGUGGUGUCCUUUGUCAAGAGCAUGUCAGGGUGAUGAGUCAUCUGGGACAGGUCACCCUCCCAGCACCGAGAAGCCGACGGGGGAGGAACAGACUCCUCUGCAUUGUGAUCCAAUUGUGAACAAAAAGUCCUCUUCGUGGAACAGGAAAAAUACACUCCCUCUAAACAAUGGAUUGAACACAGAUGUGAUUUCUAAAGAAGACUGAAGGCAGGGAUACUGACACUGAAGUCCUGCCUGUGUAAUAACACCGAAGAGGGCAGGGAAUCGCUGCGUCCUGUGACUUGAAGGCCACUGUGAAGGAAAACAAUGCAGUGAAAGAAAGUUCCUCCUAUGUGGACAUUGUAUCACGUUUAUUUAUCUUCCUGGAUAUGCUUAUGGCCUUUAAAACAUAUUAAAAUAGGCUAUGCUAUUAUCUCUUAAAAUAUCUGUUUUCCCUCAGGUAACUGGAGACGCACCCUGCUACUCCUCACGUCACUCUUGUUCCCUAAACCAGGCUGGGCCUCCCACUCGCCCCACAGGCAGGUGACGUAUGACAGCCAGAAACCCCAAAUCUGCAGUUCUCCCCAGGAUGAAACGAAACACAGUGUGACAGGCUUCUGAUAAGGGAAUCAAUGUCUGUUUAUUAAGGCAGAUGCUCAUAAAA